AACUACCCUUAUCAUAUCUUCAUCUUCUUGUUCAUAAUCUUCACUAAGAAAACCCAGCAAAUCAUUAAAAAAAACAGCACUUCCCAUUUUCCAUUUCUGCCCCAUAUCACUUCCCAUUAAAAAAAACUGCUCAGUUACUCACAUCACAUACCUACCAACUUCCAAGUGCAAAUAUUCACAAAUUGGAGUUAGAGAUUUGGGAUUUUUCAUAACAAUGAAAUCAAUCUCUGCAAAUAGAACCGUUCAAAAAAAAAUCUCUACAAAUAGGAAUAGAAAUAGUUUUUGAAUUGUGAAUUGUGAUGCUAUUCCAACUUCCGCAUCAACUACACCAUUAAUCUUAUCCCAACUUACAACUCUCUCCCUUCAACCUCAACUUCCUCGCCGUCAUCGCUGCCUAGUUCUUGCUCUUCUUCUUCCAUGACCGCCCCCUCGUCCUCUUCCGUUUCACCAUCGACGACCGCUUACUCCUCCUCCUACUCACCACUCUCACCGUCGUAGCUCUUGUCUUCACCGGCGUUUGGCUUAACGUCCUCGUGAGUCGUGUUGGUGCUGCGGUGGUUGUUUUGAAUGAGGCGUUUCAGAGUAUUGAUGAUUUGUAUUUAGAUGAAGAAGAGAUCUUUGAUGGUGAUUUGCUUUCAGUUGUUGGUGGUAGCUUCGAUACCAAACGUUGUUCAGCGACGGUGAAGGAGAGUCACAAUCUGGGUCAGCGCUUAUUGUUUCAAAACUGUGUCUUGGUGCGAGGAUAUGAGGUUCUAUGUGAGAGGAUGAGAAGUCACGAUCUGGGUCAGCGCUUGUUCUUCUUGAGGUUGUUGUUGAGGAUGAGAAGUCUGUUAAGGUUGUGGUUGUUGAUGUGAGUGAUGUUGUUCAUGUUCUUAUUGGGUUUUUUUUUAUCUCAUUUUUUAGGAAAAAAAAUUCUGAGUUUUAUUAAUGUUGGUGAAGAUGAUGAUUGAUGAAGAAGUUUGAAUUUUUCUGGAUUUGUUUGAAUGAAUGUAUGAAUGUGAUUGAUGAAGAUGAAGAAAAGGAAAAAAAA
rnacentral:lncRNA from 1 species